CCGUAACUCUCCAACAGUUUGAUUUCCUCCCCAAAGGGUGCAAUCUUCAAUUGCCUCCCAAGACAGAUGGAUGCCAAACCUAAAUCCAUCUUAUUAUACACACACAGAUCAACAUAUGCUGUCCUAAUAGGUACCCAGGCAAAGUUUUAAAAGUACAUACAAAUACAACAAGGGCAUUAAGGUCCUCUUCUAAAUUACAUUCUUGGUGACUUCAAGGGUGCUGAUUUUUGCUUCCUCCUCUCCCAGACCCUGAGAGCAGUAUUGGCAAAUGGAUUUUUGAUUCUCCUCUAAGCCAAAGGUGUCAGUCUGCAGAAUGGCAAAACUCUCAACUGCAAGGGACUUUGCCCUAGUUCCGCAGAUGUUCCAAAUGACUUCUAAACUACAGUACCUCUUAGGCUCUGCGUCAACUGCUUGAUCUGGCAAGAGUUGUCAGACAACUGAAGAUUUGGAGCCUCCAAGCCCUCCUCCGCCUUAUUCCCGGACAGCAUGUCUCUGUGAAUUUCCCUCCUUAUAUAAAACUAUUUAAGAACUUCUGCCAGCUGGCAGCGGGCUCUUUUCCCACCCAAAUCGGUAGUGCUUGAUGCUUUUAUGACUACUGCUCCAACAAGCAGUUAGCUGUGCCUUGCAGGGAGAUUUUAAUUCCCAUAGAUUUUUAAUUUCCAGUUUCCUAUUUUCCAUCAGAACUGUUGCAUAAGAAGAAGAAGAGGGUUUUGCCUCCCCCAAGCGGACUUUCUAGUCAAUUGCAUCUAGGAGCUGAAUUGUAGUGUUUUGAUUCAUUGUAAGCUGUUUUAUCUUCUUUGUUUGAAAUAAUGAAAAAACUUUAAAGGCAAAUAAAACCCCAAUCUCUAUUUUAAAAAAACGACAUGUUUCCCCCACAGACUGUUUUUAUAAUUAAUUUUUUUUAGUUAAGCACUGGUGUUUAGAAAAAGAUAAUGGAAAAGCUUAUUAUGUCAAAGAAGAU